CCUACGGGUGGCAGCAGUAGGGAAUCUUUCACAAUGGGCGAAAGCCUGAUGGAGCAACACCGCGUGCAGGAUGAAGGCCUUCGGGUUGUAAACUGCUUUUAUAAGCGAGAAAUAUGAUGGUAACUUAUGAAUAAGGAUCGGCUAACUACGUGCCAGCAGCCGCGGUCAUACGUAGGAUCCGAGCAUUAUCCGGAGUGACUGGGUGUAAAGAGUUGCGUAGGUGGCAUAAUAAGUAGCUAGUGAAAUCUGGUGGCUCAACCAUUCAGACUAUUAGCUAAACUGUUAAGCUCGAGACCGUUAGGGGUAACUGGAAUUUCUGGUGUAGGAGUGAAAUCCGUAGAUAUUAGGAGGAACACCAAUGGCGUAGGCAGGUUGCUGGGACGGUUCUGACACUGAGGCACGAAAGCGUAGGGAGCAAACAGGAUUAGAUACCCCUGUAGUC
rnacentral:rRNA from 1 species